GUCUAUAUAGUAUAACGGUAUACUACUAACUAUUUUAUUUAGAGCUUAUAGGUUCGAAUCCUAUUAUAGGCA